CCCAAGUGGGAACAUUUGAAAAUACAGAACGCUGAAAGCACAAUACGUUACUCAAUGUACAACCUAUACUCUAUAUAACCCCAUAUACUCCAUGUUCUUCAAUGCACGAUCAAGAAUGUCAUCAUCAGGCUGUAAAGGAAAGGAUUCAUGGCCCGAGCUUGUUGGGGCAAAAGGAGAAGCGGCAGCGGCUACAAUUGAGAAAGAGAAUCCACUGGUUAAUGCUAUCGUGAUAUUGGAAGGAACUGCGACCACUAGGGACUUCAGGUGCGACCGUGUGUGGGUGUGGGUGAAUCAUAAGGGAGUGGUGACUCGAACGCCUAUCAUUACUUGACUGAGCUAAAGGCUAGCUAAUAAAGCAUGAUCGUCAUAUCAAAACUUUAUAAAUAAAUAUAUAUGGCGUGUACUCCUUAUAUAUUUUAUGACUACUGUUGUUCAAGCUUUGUGGUGUUGUAUCGUGGCUAAGACAUGUAUGAUGGCUGAAUGCUUUAAUAAAUAAAAAGUGUGGUGUAUGAGUAUCAAUGUAUCAUAUCUAUCACUUGUUUAAUUAUUUGUUUGUUU